CACUUUUAGACACAAUCUGUUCUGGGUCAAUAUUUGUUUCACCUUGGCAAAGCUUCCUAUACAAACCUGUGAUCAUAUGCCUUUGUUUUCUCACUUCAGGUACAAGAGAGGUGAGCACAAGAUGGGCCAAAUAUGAGAUGUGGAAUCAGGAAAAACAGAAAAAGUGGAAGAAAUGGCAAACGUGGACGUGAGAGCAGCUGGGUUUUCUAGCUCUGGGCGUCUGCAGGAAUCAUGUUCCAGGAAGGGCUGGGAGAGGCUGCGGGGAAAAGGAAGGGGUGCAGGGGAGUGUGCCCCACCCUUGCCCUGUGCCUGCAGGUGGGCCGGACUUGGACCCUGCCUGGAUGAUCUGCGAAGAAAUAGGGUUCCAAAAGGGCAGAUCCCAAGACAAUGCCUUAUAAAGGUCCUGGCUAACGUUUCCAUGGCAGCUUGCUGAGUGGCCGAGCUGAUCUCAGCCCUUCCAGGGGUGACUCAUUGACUCCUCCCAAGCUGGAGAGGUGAGAGUUCUUUUCCGGUUUACAUAUCAGGAAGCUGAGGCAUGGAAAGGUAGCUGGAGACCACCCUGGCUGAGCUGUGAUCAGUCGCAUCUAGACUAGUUUGGUGUUUCAGAGCAAGUCUCUCAAAUGCCCUGUGCCUCAAUGCUCUCAUCUGCACGUUGGAAGAAAGAAUUCCUGCUUCCCAGAGCCGUUGGGAGGAGUAACAGAGGUGAAGUGUGUAAAGUACACACGAAAGGAACUCAGCUGACAGCAGCAUCUUCACUGAGUUUCAGAUUUCUGACCCACGGAAAGGCAAGAUAUUCUAAUUCUGCACUGCCCAGUAGGGUGGCCUCUAGCCACAUGUGGCCACUGAGAUCCUGCAGUGUGGCCUGUCCAAGCUGAACCGAACUCUUGGUGGGAAAUGCUCACCAGAUUUGAAGACUUUGUAUGACAGAAUGAACAGAAAUAUCUUGACAUUUUUGUCUCAGGUA
rnacentral:lncRNA from 1 species